rnacentral:rRNA from 1 species
GAUGAACGCUGACAGAAUGCUUAACACAUGCAAGUCAACUUGAACUUCGGUUUGGGUGGCGUCCGGGUGAGUAACGCGUAAAGAACUUGCCUCACAGCUAGGGACAACAUUUGGAAACGAAUGCUAAUACCUGAUAUUAUGAUUAUAUGGCAUCGUAUAAUUAUGAAAGCUAUAUGCGCUGUGGGAGAGCUUUGCGUCCCAUUUGCGAGUUGGAGAGGUAACGGCUCACCCAGGCGAUGAUGGGUAGCCGGCCUGAGAGGGUGAUCGGCCACAGGGGGACUGAGACACGGCCCGUACGCAAACGGGAGGCAGCGGUGGAGAAUAGAGGACAACGGACCAAGAGUCUGAUGCAGGACUUCUGUGUGCACGAUGAAGUUUUUCGGAAUGUAAAGUGCUUUCAGUUGGGAAGAAAAAAAUGACGGUACCAACAGAAGAAGCGACGGCUAAAUACGUG